rnacentral:rRNA from 1 species
AUACGUAGGUGGCAAGCGUUGUCCGGAUUUACUGGGUGUAAAGGGCGCGCAGGCGGGCAAGCAAGUCAGAUGUGAAAUCUCCGGGCUCAACCCGUAAAUUGCAUUUGAAACUGCAGGUCUUGAGUAUCGGAGAGGCAAGCGGAAUUCCUAGUGUAGCGGUGAAAUGCGUAGAUAUUAGGAGGAACACCAGUGGCGAAGGCGGAUUGCUGGACGACAACGGACGGUGAGGCGCGAAAGCGUGGGAAGCAAACAGGAUUAGAUACCCUGGUAGUCCACGCCCUAAACGAUGAAUACUAGGUGUGGGGGGACUGACCCCUUCCGUGCCGGAGUAAACACAAUAAGUAUUCCACCUGGGGAGUACGACCGCAAGGUUGAAACUCAAAUGAAUUGGCGGGG